UUGAAGAUAUUAAAUUAUGAGGAGUGUAAAGAAAGAUUUAUUUUAACAUUUUAACGUAAAAUAAGUAUCUCUGACUAAUAUAUUUUGCGGGAUACGGGCUCAUACGGCAUCAGUCACAUCAAAGAGUUUAAACCAUGUACACUUCCCUCACCUUCGCAAGAAAAUACAAGACACGAGAUCAAAGAAAAUAUAAACCGACUGGUUCAGAGCAAAUUACGUAUAUAUUCUUGUUUGAGGCUACAGUGUUUAUCUGUGAUCACGUUUAUUUAAUACGAACGAUUAAACGAUUGUAUUUUCUCGCAAGUUUUCUUAGAGCCCAUUUUUCCAAGCAAAUAGGUCUGAAUCCCGAGUGUAGAAUGAUACAGCAGUAACAGCACGGUGGCUGUGGUACAUCUUCUUAAACCAAGUUAUCCUUCAGAACUUCCCCACAUUUACAAGAUUCCAUCUCCUGACAGCACCAAGCUUCGUGUGUAUAUGUAUUAUCACACAAUUGCCGCAUUUACACUUGCGAAAUAUGAUACAGGUGAGGAAAGUGAUAUGACUGAUGCCGUAUCAAAAAUAUAUCAACCAGAGAUACUUAUUUUACGUUAAAAUGUUAAAUAAAUCUAUGUUUACGCUCACCAUGAUUUAAUAUCUUUAAGACCGUCUAAUCUUCGUUCUAGCAUCUCGUUUUGUUCCUGGUGUUGCGCAUGGUUUUAGAUGUUGCGCGUAGCAUUCUUGGCUUGCUAGCGGCUCCACCGGCAUAAAGGCAAUAUGCAUCAUAAUCGCCUAAAAUUUCGCUAUCAACUGCUUCUCGAGUUCCAAUUUCGUGACUGGUAUCAUUUGAUUCAUCCUGUAUAUAUACCCAGGAAUAUAAUUGUAUUCUGAGUCACAUUGAGAACCAUGAGUGCUGGAAAAUAUAUGUUUUCCCAAUAGCUUUUUAGUACUCCUUCACAUGUGAAUUCGAACUUCCGUCCCUUAAGCUACGUCACACGGCUCUCGCCCCAGACCCUUUUCCGGUUUUUUCUCGGGCGCGACAAUUUUUCGCUAAAAGCCAAUUUUUCAAGGUUUAGAACCUCAUAUCUCGCGAAUGAAAAGAGAAAACCGAAAAAUGUUAAAGAACCUAUUAACUAACUUUUUGUCCUCUACCAAAUAUCAAAAAAAAGUUUUUGUGACAUAAGCACUUUAAAGCGUAUUUAUUAUACGCCAUAAUAAAUUUUCAAAAUGAAGUUCCCGGAUGUAAAGUGUGAUCACG